AGUAAUGCGUGACCAACCUCGCCCCAUGCUCCAGAAUAGCUCUUGGAAACGGGUGGUAAUGCUGGAUGCUCCAACUUGACGCAUGUCUUGUUGGGAAGUGUUUAGUGGCAUGGGAUGGGGUCGCGUCCUAUCAGCUUGUAGGCGGGGUAAUGGCCCACCUAGGCUUCGACGGGUAGCCGGCCUGAGAGGGCGGACGGCCACAUUGGGACUGAGAUACGGCCCAGACUCCUACGGGAGGCAGCAGGC
rnacentral:rRNA from 1 species